CUUUGCUUAUGUUGUUCUCACUGCCUGAAAUGUUCCCUUCCACUCCAUCACCAAUACCACAAUUCCCCCAUCACCAGCAUCUCUUUCUCUCUGUUGUUACUCACACUUUAGCCCUUACUCCCAGCCAGUCAUUAAACUUCACAUUCAGUAAGAGCUCACAUGUGUCAAGCCUCCUGUUGAGUACUUUGUAUCCAUAAUUCGAUGUAAUCCUCACAAUAAUCCUACAAAUAGGUACUAUUAUUAUUAUUUUUUU
rnacentral:lncRNA from 1 species